CCUUUUUUGCGGACAGAGGAGGGACAUUACCGAGUUUACAACUCCCAAACCCAAUGUGAACGUUACCAAACUGUUGCCUCGGCGGGAUCUCUGCCCCGGGUGCGUCGCAGCCCCGGACCAAGGCGCCCGCCGGAUGACCAACCAAAACUCUUAUUGUAUACCCCCUCGCGGGUUUUUUACUAUCUGAGCCAUCUCGACGCCCCUCGUGGGCGUUUCAAAAAUGAAUCAAAACUUUCAACGACGGAUCUCUUGGUUCUGGCAUCGAUGAAGAACGCAGCGAAAUGCGAUAAGUAAUGUGAAUUGCAGAAUUCAGUGAAUCAUCGAAUCUUUGAACGCACAUUGAGCCCGCGAGUAUUCUGGCGGGUAUGCCUGUCCGAGCGUCAUUUCAACCCUCAAACCCCUCCGAGGGGUCGGCGUUGGGGAUCGGCCCUUUACGGGGCCGGCCCCGAAAUACAGUGGCGGUCUCGCCGCAGCCUCUCCUGCACAGAAGUUUGCACAAUCUCAUCGCGAGCGCGGCGCGUCCACAGCCGUUAAACACGCUUGACAUCUGAAAUGUCGACCUCGAAUCAGGUGCUAAUACCCGCUGAGCUACAUUAUUCAAAUUUUGGCUGGCAA
rnacentral:rRNA from 1 species